CAUUUCAAGCUCCUUUCUUCUUCUGCUAUUGAGAUGAUAUAUGCUGAAAAUGUACGUCCCAUUUCCCCCUCAUAUAUAGUCCUCUUAUUUCUCUCUAAUUAUAUGGCUAAAAAUAUAAGAAAUUUUUAAACUUUGAUGAUGGGCCAUCCUUAGUGGAACUUCAGCAGGAGGGUUGGGUGCAAUCCUACAUUGUGACAAAUUCAGACUUUUUUUCUCCUUGACUGCUAGAGUUAAAUGAAUCUCUGAUGCUGGUUUCUUUAUUAAUGCGGAUCUGCCAAGAACCUACCACUCUCUAGCACAUUCUUGAGCUUAGACCCAAGUUUGUGCUUCUUCCCUCAGUAUAUGCAGCACCACAUAUUUGCACGCCACUUUUCAUCAUUAAUUCGGCUUAUGAUUCUUGGCAGAUAAACAACAUUUUGGUUCCCGAAUGUGUUGCUGACCCUGAACAUGUUUGGGAUACAUGCAAGAAAGAUAUAAAUAAAUGCUCACCAAGUCAAAUCCAAUCUCUCCAAGAUUUUAGGUCGACAUUUUUAGAGGCAUUGAACGAUUUAGGACCAAGUAUAUCAAGAGGUUAUUUCAUUUCUUCUUGCCAUUUCCACCAUGGCAUUGAAAUACAAAGCUAUUGGUCCAACAACAACUCUCCAACAAUAGCAAACAAGACAAUUGUUGAAGCUGUUGGAGACUGGUCUUUUGGUAGAAGUGGAUUCCAAGGGGUUUACUGCCCCUAUCCUUGUGGCAAAUAUUGCCAGUAGAGGUUGCUCUUAUUUUUUUUCGUAAACAAGUGGAGUAACUAGUGUAAAGCUACUCAUGUAUUAUUGCAAAAUUGUAAUUUUUGUUUUUGUUUUCACCUCAACAUGUUUUGAUUGAGCAAAUUAUAUUUUUUGUCUUCACACGUUUUGAUCGAACAACUUUUUUCCCUUAAAAACAGAUUUGCUAAUUGGAAAGUUUAUAUCAUUCCAAAUAAAAUUUCGUCAUCUGUAAUAAUCAAUUAGCAAAAAAUUGCAUGCGAUGAAUGUUUCCUCUCCUUUUCUGAAACUCCAAAAGGAGCAAAUAAAGUCGGACCUUACGUUACAGUAUUAAGGACCUAUUUAUGAGCCAUUUCUUGUCUCACAUAAAAUUGAUAAAGCAUUACCAAUUAGAACCAUAUUGUUUACCAGACACAACUUGACUAGUAAAUUGCGUAAGCGAACAUAAUUUUUAUUUAUUUCUUGAAGUAUAUCUAUACUAUAAUUUGUGGAAAUAUCUAUUUAAUGAUUUUUUUUUUGUAUUUCGUACCCCUAAUGUAUGUAAUAAAAGGUCCAU